GCCUAAGCUAAAUCUCCGACCCUAUAAUAACAUCCUUUUCACAAUAAUCUCAUUUUACAAUCAUUGGAACAUUUUUAAAACGUAAUAAUGUCAAGAGGAAGCUUAAUGUUAAACCUUGCCCUCAAAGAGAAAACAGUUAACGCAGAUCGUGUUUGUAGCAGUUCUAAAUACAUUCCAGUUAACAAAAAGUUUACUCAAGACGAAGAAAAUCAAUCCUACUAUGUAGGGCUAAAAAAAUAAUGAGUGCGCCUGUAUUCUUCAGGUAAGAGUGGACUCUAAACAAAGUACAGACUGACAUAAUUAAGAUAUAAUUAAAAGAC